GACGAACGCUGGCGGCGUGCCUAAUACAUGCAAGUCGAACGCACUCUCGUUUAGAUUGAAGGAGCUUGCUCCUGAUUGAUAAACAUUUGAGUGAGUGGCGGACGGGUGAGUAACACGUGGGUAACCUGCCCUAAAGUGGGGGAUAACAUUUGGAAACAGAUGCUAAUACCGCAUAAAACCUAAACACCGCAUGGUGUAGGGUUGAAAGAUGGUUUUGGCUAUCACUUUAGGAUGGACCCGCGGUGCAUUAGUUAGUUGGUGAGGUAAAGGCUCACCAAGACCGUGAUGCAUAGCCGACCUGAGAGGGUAAUCGGCCACACUGGGACUGAGACACGGCCCAGACUCCUACGGGAGGCAGCAGUAGGGAAUCUUCCACAAUGGACGAAAGUCUGAUGGAGCAACGCCGCGUGAGUGAAGAAGGUUUUCGGAUCGUAAAACUCUGUGUUGGAGAAGAAAUGUAUCUGAUAGUAACUGAUCAGGUAGUGACGGUAUCCAACCAGAAAG
rnacentral:rRNA from 1 species